UACGUAGGUGGCGAGCGUUAUCCGGAUUUACUGGGUGUAAAGGGCGUGUAGGCGGUUUCGUAAGUCGGAUGUGAAAUUCCCGGGCUCAACCCGGGCGCUGCAUCCGAAACUACAAAACUUGAGUACUGGAGAGGAUAGUGGAAUUCCUAGUGUAGCGGUAAAAUGCGUAGAUAUUAGGAGGAACACCGGUGGCGAAGGCGACUAUCUGGACAGUAACUGACGCUGAGGCGCGAAAGCGUGGGGAG
rnacentral:rRNA from 1 species